rnacentral:rRNA from 1 species
UACGUAGGGUGCAAGCGUUGUCCGGAAUUAUUGGGCGUAAAGGGAGUGUAGGCGGCUUGUUAAGUCUUCUGUGAAAGCUACGGGCUUAGCCUGUAAAGUGCAGAGGAAACUGGCGAGCUUGAGUGUCGGAGAGGGUAGCGGAAUUCCCGGUGUAGAGGUGAAAUUCGUAGAGAUCGGGAGGAACACCAGUGGCGAAGGCGGCUACCUGGCUGACAACUGACGCUGAGACUCGAAAGCAUGGGGAGCAAACAGG